rnacentral:rRNA from 1 species
GAUAAGUUGGGUAGUCAAAAGGGAAAGAGCCCAGACCUACAGCUAAGGUCCCAAAAUGUGUGUUAAGUGGAAAAGGAUGUGGGAUUUCGAAGACAACUAGGAUGUUGGCUUAGAAGCAGCCAUCCAUUAAAAGAGUGCGUAAUAGCUCACUAGUCGAGAGGUCCUGCGCCGAAAAUGUCCGGGGCUGAAACACACUACCGAAGCUUGGGAAUUGACGAAUGUUAAUUGGUAGAGGAGCAUUCUUAACGGGGCGAAGCUGUACCGGAAGGAGCAGUGGACUGUUAAGAAGAGAGAAUGCCGGAAUGAGUAGCGAGAGGAAGGUGAGAAUCCUUCCGGCCGAAUAUCUAAGGUUUCCAGAGUAAAGCUGAUCUGCUCUGGGUAAGUCGGGGCCUAAGGCGAGGUCGAAAGACGUAGUCGAUGGAUAACAGGUAAAGAUUCCUGUACUGUAUCAUAACAGAACUGUGGGGACGCAGACAGAGAGCAUAAGCCGGGAAUGGAAAGACCGGUACAAGCGAGGUAGGAGUGCAUCAGGCAAAUCCGGUGCACAAUCUGAAGACGUGAUGUGGGGCGUAAAGCCGGAAGUAUGUGAGCUGGCUGCCAAGAAAAGCCGCUAUUGUUUAUGAUAUACCCGUACCGUAAACCGACACAGGUGGAUGAGGAGAGAAUCCUAAGGCCGACGGGAGAAGCAUUGUUAAGGAACUCGGCAAAAUGACUCCGUAACUUCGGGAGAAGGAGUGCCAUGCGAAUGGCCGCAGAGAAUUGGCCCAAGCAACUGUUUAGCAAAAACACAGGUCUAUGCGAAACCGAAAGGUGAGGUAUAUGGGCUGACGCCUGCCCGGUGCUGGAAGGUUAAGAGGAGAGGUUAGAGCAAUCGAAGCUUUGAAUUUAAGCCCCAGUAAACGGCGGCCGUAACUAUAACGGUCCUAAGGUAGCGAAAUUCCUUGUCGGGUAAGUUCCGACCCGCACGAAAGGCGUAAUGAUUUGAGCGCUGUCUCAACAAUGCACCCGGUGAAAUUGAAAUACCAGUGAAGAUGCUGGUUACCUGCGCCAGGACGGAAAGACCCCAUGGAGCUUUACUCCAGCUUGAUACUGGGAUUCGAUAUUGCAUGUACAGGAUAGGUGGGAGACUAGGAAGUGGUGACGCCAGUUGCCAUGGAGUCAAUGUUGGGAUACCACCCUUGCAGUAUUGGGUUUCUAACCAGCAGCCGUGAUCCGGCUGGGGGACAAUGUCAGGUGGGGAGUUUGACUGGGGCGGUCGCCUCCGAAAGGGUAUCGGAGGCGCUCAAAGGUUCCCUCAGAAUGGUUGGAAACCAUUCGAAGAGUGCAAAGGCAGAAGGGAGCUUGACUGCGACACCGACGGGUGGAGCAGGUACGAAAGUAGGACUUAGUGAUCCGGUGGUAUAAAGUGGGAUUGCCAUCGCUCAACGGAUAAAAGCUACCCUGGGGAUAACAGGCUUAUCACUCCCAAGAGUUCACAUCGACGGAGUGGUUUGGCACCUCGAUGUCGGCUCAUCGCAUCCUGGGGCUG